rnacentral:rRNA from 1 species
AUUGAACGCUGGCGGCAUGCCUUACACAUGCAAGUCGAACGGCAGCAUGAUCUCGCUUGCUAGAUUGAUGGCGAGUGGCGAACGGGUGAGUAAUACAUCGGAACGUGCCCUGUAGUGGGGGAUAACUAGUCGAAAGAUUAGCUAAUACCGCAUACGACCUGAGGGUGAAAGUGGGGGACCGCAAGGCCUCAUGCUAUAGGAGCGGCCGAUGUCUGAUUAGCUAGUUGGUGAGGUAAAGGCUCACCAAGGCGACGAUCAGUAGCUGGUCUGAGAGGACGAUCAGCCACACUGGGACUGAGACACGGCCCAGACUCCUACGGGAGGCAGCAGUGGGGAAUUUUGGACAAUGGGCGAAAGCCUGAUCCAGCAAUGCCGCGUGUGUGAAGAAGGCCUUCGGGUUGUAAAGCACUUUUGUCCGGAAAGAUAUGGCUCUGGUUAAUACCUGGGGUCGAUGACGGUACCGGAAGAAUAAGGACCGGCUAACUACGUG